GCCAUCAGAAAGCGCUCCAGGAUUGUUUGGGGAACCAUGAGCAGCACAGGAAUAUCACGUAGAAAGUGUCCUGGGGGCAUCAAAUGAUUCUUAAGGUUAGGUAUUGGGUUUGAGGUUAGGUUUUAGGGCUGGGGUUGCUAAGGUUAGUGUUGGGGUUGGGUUAGGGAAGUGAAAGGUGGGAGUGCUUGUUAAAUGCCCCCGGGACACUUUCCAGGGGAUAAUCCUUUACGCUGCGGAUGCAUGAAGCAAUUAGCAGCAUGUUUUAUGAAAACUGAAAACUGAAAAACCCGUCCCGCUACAAGCAAAGCAAGUGUACAUUUUAUACAGACACUACUGUUGCGAUGUCUCUCUUAACUACUCUGAGUUCCGCUUUGAGAAUUGACACUUGCCACCAGGCGAGGCACCACACUAAGCUCAUGAUGACACACUGACAGCACCCCAUUGCACUCGGUGGAGAGCCAGUCAAGGAGUCAGCCCUACUGGAGAGCAAGGCUUCAUCAGGGUCACACACAAUAUCCCUGAAACACAGUCCCAGGUCAGGGAGAGCCCCAGGUCCUGCUAUUCCUGGGAGACGUGGCCUGGCCGGACCGCGUGCAGGCCUCGUUUCAGUGUGAGAGCCUCUCCCCACAGGAGAAGCACUUGGCAGCCACAGUGAGGAGCAGCCGGUCCGAGGAGGCUGGCUGUGCUGUGGCGAGGCUGGGGAGCACUCCUGCUGUGACUCACAUUCAGACUCCAGUGUUCAGCUUUGAGUGGGUCACAGACAACAUUUUAUUUUACACAAGCCAGAAGAACCUCUGGAGCCUUCAGGUUUACUCUUUAGUCUUUGGAGAGGAGCAGCCGCAGAUAACCCUAGCGUGUGAAGAGCAGGAGCGAGGUUCUUUGUGGAGGUGAUGAGCUCCAAGGACAAGAGGUUCCUCGCCAUUAACUGCAACAGCAAGAGCUGCUCGGAGAUGCACCUGGUUGAGUGUAGGAGCUCUCUCCUCCCCCCUGUGCUGGUACAGCCUCGCACUGCAGGGCUGAUCUAUCAUGUAGAGCACAGCGAGGGCCAGCUGUACAUCCUCACCAACGCAGGGCCAGCCCAUGAGUACCAGCUCUGAUGAUCUACAGUGUAAACACCAGUCACCCUUCCUCUGUGAUUAGGAAAUGCUUUCCUUCAUAAGUAAAGCAUGGGAUUUUGGAUGUGAGCUUGAUCGAGUAAGUCUCUCUUCUCAGCUGCCACAGUGGGCUUGUGCUCUAGAACCUGGGUUGAACUCACAGCUCAGCAGCAACACCUUCCACUUCCUGCUGUCCUCUCCUGCCCAGCCUCCGAGAGCUUUGUUCUAUUCACUGUGUGAAAAUCACCUCUACCAGCAACAAGAGGAGCAGGCAAUGGCAUGCAGAACUGAUUACCAGAUGUCACGCAUAGAGGCCCAAAGCAUGAACGUCACAGUUUGCGCUCCUGUACAAAGAACUCGGGAUUGAUGUGAAGCACCCUAAAAGGAAGAGGUGACAGAUUUGUACUUCAGUGAAACCCGGUGGCUGAGGAGGUUUACUUAGGGGAUAUUCUGAACAAAUUGCC